CCCUUAGAUGUUCUGGGCCUCACGCGCGCUACACUGAUGCAUUCAACGAGUUUCUUCCUGGUCCGAGAGGAAUGGGUAACCUUUUGAAAGUGCAUCGUGAUAGGGAUAGACUAUUGCAAUUAUUGGUCUUCAACGAGGAAUUCCUAGUAGACGUAGUUCAUCAGACUGCAUCGAUUACGUCCCUGCCCUUUGUACACACCGCCCGUCGCUCCUACCGAUUGAAUGCUCAGGUGAGCCAUUCGGACUUUCAUCAUGCUGGUUUCCAGUUUUGAUGAAGGAAAGUCUUGCGAACCUUAUCAUUUAGAGGAAGGAGAAGUCGUAACA
rnacentral:rRNA from 1 species